GGUCGGGUCCUGUGCAACAGGCACCCGUGAACCGAGUCAGGGCCGGAAGGCAGCAGCUCUCAGCGGAGCNACCUGUGUGCCGCAGAUCGCCUGGCCGCC
rnacentral:SRP_RNA from 1 species